rnacentral:rRNA from 1 species
GACGUAGGGCGCGAGCGUUGUCCGGAUUUAUUGGGCGUAAAGAGCUCGUAGGCGGUUCGUCGCGUCGGCUGUGAAAUCCCGAGGCUCAACCUCGGGUCUGCAGUCGAUACGGGCGGACUGGAGUUCGGCAGGGGAGACUGGAAUUCCUGGUGUAGCGGUGAAAUGCGCAGAUAUCAGGAGGAACACUGGUGGCGAAGGCGGGUCUCUGGGCCGAUACUGACGCUGAGGAGCGAAAGCGUGGGGAGCGAACAGG